rnacentral:rRNA from 1 species
UGGGGAAUAUUGCACAAUGGGCGCAAGCCUGAUGCAGCCAUGCCGCGUGUAUGAAGAAGGCCUUCGGGUUGUAAAGUACUUUCAGUCGGGAGGAAGGCGGUAAGGUUAAUAACCUUAUCAAUUGACGUUACCGACAGAAGAAGCACCGGCUAACUCCGUGCCAGCAGCCGCGGUAAUACGGAGGGUGCAAGCGUUAAUCGGAAUUACUGGGCGUAAAGCGCACGCAGGCGGUUGAUUGAGUCAGAUGUGAAAUCCCCGGGCUUAACCCGGGAAUUGCAUCUGAUACUGGUCAGCUAGAGUCUUGUAGAGGGGGGUAGAAUUCCAGGUGUAGCGGUGAAAUGCGUAGAGAUCUGGAGGAAUACCGGUGGCGAAGGCGGCCCCCUGGACAGAGACUGACGCUGAGGUGCGAAAGCGUGGGGAGCAAACAGG